rnacentral:rRNA from 1 species
UAUUCCCCACUGCUGCCUCCCGUAGGAGUCUGGGCCGUAUCUCAGUCCCAAUGUGGCCGUUCAACCUCUCAGUCCGGCUACUGAUCGCAGCCUUGGUGAGCCGUUACCCCACCAACUAGCUAAUCAGAUAUGAGCCCAUCUUUCAGCGGAUUGCUCCUUUGGUAUCUAGAGGAUGCCCUCAAAAUACAUUAUGCGGUAUUAGCAGUCGUUUCCAACUGUUGUCCCCCUCUGAAAGGCAGGUUGCUCAUACAUUACUCACCCGUCCGCCACUAAGUGUUAAAAGCAAGCUCUCAACACUCCGUUCGACUUGCAUGUGUUAGGCACGCCGCCAGCGUUCAUCCUGAGCCAA